AGCUGGGGAUUAUUCAACUUU
rnacentral:misc_RNA from 1 species